rnacentral:sRNA from 1 species
GCAGAUGAUGAAAAUUU